rnacentral:rRNA from 1 species
AGUGAACGCUGGCGGUAGGCCUAACACAUGCAAGUCGAACGGCAGCACAGUAAGAGCUUGCUCUUACGGGUGGCGAGUGGCGGACGGGUGAGGAAUACAUCGGAAUCUACUUUUUCGUGGGGGUUAACGUAGGGAAACUUACGCUAAUACCGCAUACGACCUACGUGUGAAAGCAGGGGAUCUUCGGACCUUGCGCGAUUGAAUGAGCCGAUGUCGGAUUAGCUAGUUGGCGGGGUAAAGGCCCACCAAGGCGACGAUCCGUAGCUGGUCUGAGAGGAUGAUCAGCCACACUGGAACUGAGACACGGUCCAGACUCCUACGGGAGGCAGCAGUGGGGAAUAUUGGACAAUGGGCGCAAGCCUGAUCCAGCCAUACCGCGUGGGUGAAGAAGGCCUUCGGGUUGUAAAGCCCUUUUGUUGGGAAAGAAAAGCAGCAGGUUAAUACCCCGCUGUUCUGACGGUACCCAAAGAAUAAGCACCGGCUAACUUCGUG